CGNNUNCCNGGCUACCANGCAACNUCGUAGCGGCAGCGNGNANAGGUAUACAUUGCUUACCUUUUGCCGUGCGUAGCGGCGGACGGGUGUAGAUAAUGCCUGCGGGUAUCUGCCCAGNUCGAGGGGGAUAACAGNUUGNAAACGACUUGCUAAUACCGCAUACNCCCUACGGGGGAAAGGAGGGGACCUUCGGGCCUUUCGCGAUUGGAUGAACCCAGGUGGGAUUAGCUAGUUGGUGGGGUAAUGGCUCACCAAGGCGACGAUCCCUAGCUGGUCUGAGAGGAUGAUCANCCACACUGGAACUGAGACACGGUCCAGACUCCUACGGGAGGCAGCAGUGGGGAAUAUUGCACAAUGGGGGAAACCCUGAUGCAGCCAUGCCGCGUGUGUGAAGAAGGCCUUCGGGUUGUAAAGCACUUUCAGCGAGGAGGAAAGGUUGAUGCCUAAUACGUAUCANCUGUGACGUUACUCGCANAAGAAGCACCGGCUAACUCCGUGCCAGCAGCCGCGGUAAUACGGAGGGUGCAAGCGUUAAUCGGAAUUACUGGGCGUAAAGCGCACGCAGGCGGUUGGAUAAGUUAGAUGUGAAAGCCCCGGGCUCAACCUGGGAAUUGCAUUUAAAACUGUCCAGCUAGAGUCUUGUAGAGGGGGGUAGAAUUCCAGGUGUAGCGGUGAAAUGCGUANAGAUCUGGAGGAAUACCGGUGGCGAAGGCGGCCCCCUGGACAAAGACUGACGCUCAGGUGCGAAAGCGUGGGGAGCAAACAGGAUUANAUACCCUGGUAGUCCACGCCGUAAACGAUGUCNAUUUGNAGGCUGUGUCCUUGAAACGUGGCUUCCGG
rnacentral:rRNA from 1 species